AGCCUACGGGGCGCAGCAGUGAGGAAUAUUGGUCAAUGGUCGGGAGACUGAACCAGCCAAGCCGCGUGAGGGAUGAAGGUACAGAGUAUCGUAAACCUCUUUUGUCAGGGAACAAAGGCGGGGACGUGUCCCCGGAUGAGUGUACCUGAAGAAAAAGCAUCGGCUAACUCCGUGCCAGCAGCCGCGGUAAUACGUAGGGGGCAAGCGUUAUCCGGAUUUACUGGGUGUAAAGGGAGCGUAGACGGCAAUACAAGUCGGAAGUGAAAUACCCGGGCUCAACCUGGGAACUGCUUUGGAAACUGUAU
rnacentral:rRNA from 1 species